rnacentral:lncRNA from 1 species
UGGCCUCUUCGUUCAUACCCUCGUGGCGAUGGAUUUCAUCAGGAAUGUGGUGUCAAGAGUGAUUAAUAUAAGUUGUAGAACUUUCUUCACAAUCGACCUAAAUAAAUUAUGUAUAAACUAACAAAUCACGCUAUGGUAAUCAAAGUACGGUAUAAGUUUGUGAACAUUGCCUGAACAUAUCACGCUAUAGUAAUCAAAGCACUGCAUAAGUUUGUGAACAUUGCCUUAAAAGCUCGCGCUACAGUGAUCAAAGUACGGUAUAAAUUUGUGAACAUUUCCGUAACAGAUCGCGCCGCGGUAGUCGAAGCACUGUAUAAAUUUUUAUGAACAUUAAUCUAACAGAUCGUGCUACGGUUAUCAAAGUACGGUAUAAAUUCAUGAAAACUGUCCUAACAGAUCGUGCUACAGUAGUCAGAGUACUGUAUGAAUUCGUGAACAUUGCCCUAACAGACCGCGCUACGGUAAUCAAAGUACAGGAUAUAUUUGUGAAUAUUGCCUGAACAGAUCACGCAACAGAAAUCAAUGUACGAUAUAUAUGUUUGUGAACAUUGCUCUAGCAAAUCGUGCUACAGUGAUCAAAGCACGGUAUAAGUUUGAACAUUGCUCUAAGAGAUCGCGCUUUGUUAAUCAUAGUUCAGUAUAAAUUUGUGAACAUUGCCCUAACAGAUCGCGCUAAGGUUAUAGAAGUAUGGUAUUUUGGGAACAUUGCCUUAACCGAUCGCGCUACGGUAAAAUUUGUGAACAAUGCCCUAACAGAUCGCGCUACGGUAAUCACAGUACGGUAUAAGUUUUGUGAAUAUUGCUCUGACAGAUCGGGCUACGGUAAUCAAACUACGGUAUAAAUUUCUGAACUUUGCCCUAACAGAUCGCGUUACGGUAAUCAAAAUACGGUAUAAGUUUGUAAACAUUGCCUAAACAGUUCGCGCUACGGUAAUCAAAGUACGGUAUAUGUUAACAGAUUUACAGUAAUCUGAGUAUAAUAUAGAUUUGUGAGCAAUAUCAUUUUAUAUUUGUAACGUUGUCAAUCAUGUAUAUAAUUGUCCAUAGAUAUGUCUAUACACAAGCAACUCUACUAACCAUGUAUAUAUUUGCUGGGAUCUUGCUUUUGAUGGAAACUAAAUAUUAUUGAUAUAUAUAAUAUAAACACACAAGUGAGUGAAAUAAAGACUAAAUAGUAACGUCCUUCAGAUAAAGGGAAAAACAGUAAAUCUCUAAUUGACGUUCUAAACAAAAUUAAACAUAACCAUAACACAAUAAGAAAGAAAUGAUUCACGUAACAAUUAGACAUGAAGUAAUGAAAUAAAUCAAAACAGAUGUCAAAUUGAUACAGAUUCUAAAAUCAUACUAUAAUCAUUUUGCAUUUUAAUAUUAUAUUUUCUUUGUAGAUUAAAUGAGUGUGAGUAUGAUGGAAGAACACUCUUCUGUGACAGCUGUUGUGAAUUCGAUUGUUG